rnacentral:misc_RNA from 1 species
GAUGAAGAACGUAGCGAAAUGCGAUAAUUAAUGUGAAUUGCAGAAUUCCGUGAAUCAUCGAGUCUUUGAACGCACAUUGCGCCUCAUGGCAUUCCGUGAGGCAUGCCCAUCUCAGCGUUAGAAAAUAUUCUCAAAUUUUAGUUUUGUGCUAAAAUUUGGAUCAUGUCAAGGAAGCUAUUACUAUUAUUGUGAUCGCUCUUUGGAAAUUUAUAGGUCUUUGAGUUGCUACUCAUAGAACGUGAUGAAUCUUUCUUCGUUCUAUUGUAAUUCACUCUGGUAGUCCUAAAACUUGUAUGCCUGUGGCAUAUCUUGUAAUUUGACCUGAGAUUGGGUAGGGAUACCCGCUGAACUUAAGCAUAUCAAUAAGCGGAGGA